GAUGAGGUUCUUUCACAAUCUUCUUCUUGUCAUGAGCAGCCUUUGUGGCUCUACUCACCUCCUUCUUUUUAGCACUUUCCAAGUGCUCAUCACACAGCUCUUUAGAGGACUCUCCAGCAAGACCUUCUUUCUCAAUACCAACCCCUUCAGCCUUGGUCUUCUCAAUGGAGGAUGCUCCACAAGUGAUUGUUCACAAUACUCAGCAUUCAUCUUUGGGGAUUGUAGUGGAUAGG
rnacentral:lncRNA from 1 species